GCCCUGGUAGCUCAAUUGGUUAGAGCGUCGGACUUUUAUACGCCUUUUGGUAUAUAAUAGACUAUCCGAAGGCUGCGGGUUCGACCCCCGCCUGGGGCG
rnacentral:tRNA from 1 species